AGGGUCAAGCACAGGUAGGUAGAACUGGCCCACCAGGUAUGGUCUGAGGAGCUAGGGUCAAGCACAGGUAGGUAGAACUGGCUCACCAGCUAAGGUCUGAAGAGCCAAGGUCAAGCACGGGUAGGUAGAACUGGCCUGCCAGGUAAGGUCUGAGGAGCCAGGGUCAAGCACAGGUAGGUAGAGCUGGUCCACCAGGUGAGUUCUGAGGAGCUAGGGUCAAGCACAGGUAGGUAGAACUGCUUCACCAGAUAAAGUCUGAAGAGCCAAGGUCAAAUACAGGUCAGUAGACUUGGCCUGCCAGGUAUGGUUGGAGGAGCCAAGGUCAAGCACAGGUAGGCAGAACUGGCCCACCAGGUGAGGUGUGAGGAGCUAGGGUCAAGCACAGGUAGGUAGAUCUGGCCUGCCAGGUAUGGUUGGAGGAACCAGGGUCAAGCACAGGUAGGCAGAGCUGUCCUGCCAGGAAGGUCUUAGGAGCCAGGGUCGAGCACAGGUAGGUAGAACUGGCCUGCCAGGUGAGGUCUGAGGAUCCAGGGUUAAGCACAGGUAGGAAGAGCUGGCCCACCAAGUGUGGUCUGAGGAGCCAAGAUCAAGCACAGGUAGGUAGAACUAGCCCACCAGGUAUGGUCUGAAGAGCCAAGGUCAAGCACAGGUAGGUAGAACUGGCCUGUCAGGUGAGGUCUGAAGAACCAAGGUCAAGCACAGGUAGGUAGAACUAGCCUAUCAGGUGAAGUCUGAGGAAGUGGAAUCAAGCACAGGUAGGCAGAUUUGGCUUGCUAGGUGAGGUGUGAGGAACCAGGGUCAAGCACAGGUGGGUAGAACUGGUCUGUCAAGUGAAGCCUGAGGAGCCAAGGUCAAGCACAGGUAGGCAGAUCUGGCCUACCAGGCAAGGUCUGAGGAGCCAGGGUCCAGCACAGAUAGGCAGAACUGGCCCACCAGGCGUGGCCUGAAGUGCCAGGGGCAAACACGGGUGGGCGAACUGGCCUGCUGGGUACAGUAUAAGGAGCCGGGGUCCUGUGCAGGUCGGGAGAGCCGGCCCAGCAGCCGCAGUGUUAGGAGCCACAGGCAUGUACGGUUGGCUGAACCGCCCUGCCAGGUGUGGUCUCGGGACCCAGGGUCAAGCACAGGUCAGUGGAGCUGGCCUGACAGAUGUGGUCUGAGGAGCCGGGGUCAGAAGCAGGAGGGCAAAGCCCGUCUGCCAAGUGUAAUGUCUUGAGGAGGCCUGAAGGGUUGGGGCUGAACUGAGGAACUAAGGUCCAGCAUAGAUAGGCAGGGCUGGCCUGUCAGGUGUGGUCUGAGGAGGUCGGUGAGGUAGGUAGAUUGACUUCCAGAUGUUGGAUUCAGGCAAGGGUAUGCACCCUGGGAUCUUUGUGGGGAGGCCUGAAGAAGGAAGGUUAAGCCUGGGUGGGUGGAAUGGCCACCAACACCUCACUGACGAGCCUCAGCUCAUCAGAUACGAGUAUCUCUGCAGACCUAUGCUCGUCAGUGAGGUGUUGGUGCCAGGUCAGACAGCGGUGGUUAGCUUUGGAUCUGUCUGCAAGAUGUGAAGAGCCAAGUCAGAUGAGGAUAGAGAGCCGUUUUUUUUCAAGUUAGGCCUGGGGAAGUUGAGGUCAGGCCUGUUUAGGCUAGAGCUGGGUCUCUCAGGAAGGUGUGAGGAGUCUGAGUUGGGCUUAGGAAGGUGGACCUGGGUCUUCCGGUUGAGAUGUGAGGAGUCAGGAUCAGGCACAGACGGAUCUGUGGAGCCGGGUGCAUCCGCGCAGCUGCGUGGAGCCUGGCUCCGACAGGGUAUGACCCUGCAGUAUGUGUCCUGGAGGAGGACCCAGGUAGGCAGAGCUGACCUCGUAGACAAAGCCAUUGUAUCCAUCCAUCCAUUCGUGUUGGCUUUGUCUUGAGUCCAUGGAUGUAGAGUCACAUGGACAGAGGUAUAUAAAUGUGAUCUUAGAUGGGUUCUUGUUCCCUGGGUUCAGGGACAAGUGGCAUCCCGGGCUUGUUAGGUGAAAUGAGUAGGCAUGCUCUAGCCCAGGAAUGCAUAACUGGUGUGGCUGGUGAGGCCCGGGAACGUGGGUCAGGUGCAGGUGGGAUCCUUGGUGGUAGGAUCAGGUAUGGGCUCUCCUCAAGGGAAAGCCAGAGUCAUCGUAGGUAUGUGUACCCAGGUCGGCCUGGGGAGGUCUCAGGAACCCUUAGGAUCACGUAGCACAGAUAGAAUGCCUUGAGCCAGAACUCCUGUUCUCAGUACCCUGGUCAGGCAUGAUGGGCAGAACUCAUGGUAUUGCCUUAGGAUCUAUAGCCUGAGGAUCUACAGCCAGGCCAAGGUGUGGUCUGUAGCAUUGGGGUCUGAUUGGCAUAGGGUCUGAGUUACUCAGGUGGGAAAAAAGUAGAUUAUAACUGGUUAGAUCAAGUGAGGUCUGGGGCCAGAGCAGGGGAGGCACAGAACGCUGAAUUGAUGAGGAGCUACAUCUGUGAGGUGCGAUCUGAAAGGGCCACUGCGGGUAAAGUGAAUUCUAGAGAUCGUUGUCUGUAGGUGGAGGUGUCAGAGGCUCAUAUCAGACGCUGGCAUUGCUGGGCUCCCAAAAGUGAGGUCUGAUGACCUGGGGCAGCCAAAAUCAGCAUCUUGGCAGUCCAGUUUCUAGAAUUGAGUCUGUUCAGUGAGAUCUGAGAGCCUGUGUCAGGCAUGGUGUGGCUCCUGGUACUGUGUCUGUCUGGUAAGGUUCCCCCAAACCUGGACUCUUUCCAGGAGAAGGGCCCCACCAUUCAUCUCAUCACCCAGGCCAGAAACCUCUGGGCCGCACUUAAUUCUCUCGUUCUUUCAACUCGUCCUGUUUGAUUGAAGCUCUUGAAUCAGUCCUCUGCCUUCCCCAUCCAGGGUAGAAUCAUGUUCCUGAUGACCACUGGGGAUCCCUGCUUCAUCCUCCAGCAUUGCCUCUCAGCUUCUACCCUCCAGCUCCCACCCCUUCUUUCAUCUAGAAUGUGCUGUGGUUCCUCUUGCCCAACCUAUCUCAACGGGCUUCCGGUAGAGAAUUAAGCCCUCAUGCCCCAAGACAUCCAAUGGAUAUCAUGAAUUAGCAUCUCUUCCUUGCUUCUAGGAGGGUACUAGCUUUGGACCAUCCUUGGGAGAAUUGAGAAGUGAAGUCAUUGAAAGUAUUUUCUUUUUUUUGAAAAUUUUUUUUAUUUAUUUGACCGAGAGAGACACAGCGAGAGAGGGAACACAA